GAGUACUGAUCUGGACACAAUCCACUGGCUGGACACAGAGGAAGGAACACCAGGACGAUACGGCAAGAGAAGAGAGGAGAGGGAAGAAAAGAAAAGAAAGACAGAAAGAGAGAGAGACAGAUAGGUAAAAUAUAGAGACUUGAGGACUGGUACAGGAGGAGAGGACAGCAGCCCAGGUGGGAAGGAAGGAAGGAAGAAAGGGGAGAGAGAGGUUGAGGACUGCUACAGGAAUGGUGUGGUCUGGUUGAGGGCCUAGAGGACUUCAGGGACUAGGAGAGGAACAAGAGGACGAUGUGGGACUCUGAAGUCAUGGCUCCAAAAUAUCAUCUCCACUGCCCUCCUGUCUCUCUUUCUUUCUUUCUUCCUCUCCUCACCCCUGUCCUAUCUCCUUCCUCCUCCUCUCUCUCCCUUCCUCCCAUUCUCCCCCCCUCUCGCUUUCCCUCUCGUCCUGAACUGCACGCCUUGCUGUGGCUGGUCAAACGGAACCAAGUCAGGUGUUUUAGUGAGGUUUGGUCCCCUUCAACCAGCUACUGCGUCGUGAACUCAGUCAGCAGACAUCCACAGCGGGAUUGACAGACAGAGUGUCCACUGCUACUACUGUACUACUGUAGCCUACUGCUGCUGCUUGUGUGUCUGAAUCACGUCAAAUUCAUCUACUUUUUGUACCACUAUGGAUGACUUUUUUUUUAUAGAUGUUUCUGUUACGUACAUUUUUAUGUUGUGUUUCAAAAAUAAAGAAUUAAAGAUGUGACCGUGA